GCGGAAAUAGCUCAGUGGUAGAGCAUCGCCUUGCCAAGGCGAGGGUCGCGGGUUCAAGUCCCGUUUUCCGCUCCA
rnacentral:tRNA from 1 species